AUUGAACGCUGGCGGCAUGCUUUACACAUGCAAGUCGAACGGUAACAGGGAGCUUGCUCCGCUGACGAGUGGCGAACGGGUGAGUAAUAUAUCGGAACGUACCCAGAAGUGGGGGAUAACGUAGCGAAAGUUACGCUAAUACCGCAUACGAUCUACGGAUGAAAGUAGGGGACCUUCGGGCCUUAUGCUUUUGGAGCGGCCGAUAUCUGAUUAGCUAGUUGGUGAGGUAAAGGCUCACCAAGGCGACGAUCAGUAGCUGGUCUGAGAGGACGACCAGCCACACUGGAACUGAGACACGGUCCAGACUCCUACGGGAGGCAGCAGUGGGGAAUUUUGGACAAUGGGCGCAAGCCUGAUCCAGCAAUGCCGCGUGAGUGAAGAAGGCCUUCGGGUUGUAAAGCUCUUUUGUCAGGGAAGAAACGGCUGUGGCUAAUAUCCACGGCUAAUGACGGUACCUGAAGAAUAAGCACCGGCUAACUACGUGCCAGCCGCCGCGGUAA
rnacentral:rRNA from 1 species